GUAGUCCUGGCUGUAAACUCUGCCCGCUUGGUGUGGCCUGUUCUUCGGGAGCAGGCUGUGCCGGAGCGAAGGUGUUAAGCGGGCUGCUUGGGGAGUACGGCCGCAAGGUUGAAACUUAAAGGAAUUGGCGGGGGAGCACCGCAACGGGAGGAUGCGUGCGGUUUAAUUGGAUUCAACGCCGGAAAACCCACCUGAGGCGACCAGCAUAUGUGGGUCAGGCCGAAGACCUUACUCGAACAAAAGCUGGAGAGGUGGUGCAUGGCCAUCGUCAGCUCGUACCGUAGGGCAUUCACUUAAGUGUGAUAACGAGCGAGACCCCCAUCCCUAGUUGCCAACUUUUCCGAAGGGAAGGGUGCACUCUAGGGAGACCGCUUCUGCUAAAGAAGAGGAAGGAGGGGUCGACGGUAGGUCAGUAUGCCCCGAAUCCUCAGGGCUACACGCGCGCUACAAAGGACAGGACAAUGGGUUCCAACCCCGAAAGGGGAAGGUAAUCCCAAAACCUGUUCGUAGUCCGGAUUGAGGGCUGUAACUCGCCCUCAUGAAGAUGGAUUCCGUAGUAAUCGCGGAUCAACAGUCCGCGGUGAAUAUGCCCCUGCUCCUUGCACACACCGCCCGUCAAACCAUCCGAGUCGGUUUUGGGUGAGGCCCUGUCGUUGUGGCAGGUUCGAACCCAAGGUCGGCGAGGAGGGUUAAGUCGUAACAAGGUAUCCGUAGGGGAACCUGCGGCUGGAUCACCUCC
rnacentral:rRNA from 1 species